AUGUUAGCAAAGCAGUGUUGGCGCCUUCUCCAGAAUCCUGACUCCUUGUGUGCACGUGUUCUCAGCGCAAAAUAUUAUCCAAAUGGUGAUAUUCUAAAAGCUGGCCCAAAGAAAGGUUCAUCUUUUACGUGGCAAAGUAUAGUUGCUGGUAUACAAACCUUUAAGAGAGGGUGUAUUUGGCGAGUGGGCACUGGUUCUCAGAUAGAUAUUUGGGAGGAUCCGUGGAUUUCAUCUAGUGAAACAAGGAAACCGAUAACCCUGAGAGGUGGAAUUAUGUUAUCAAAAGUGCAGGAUAUAAUUGAUCCCCACAUGGGACAAUGGGAUGAGCCUCUCAUCCAAAGUGUGUUCUGGCCAGUUGAUGUGUAUAGAAUACUUCAAAUCCCACUCCAUGUUGAAGCUUUGGAAGACUUUGUGGCGUGCCACCACACAAGAUCGGGAACCUUCUCAGUUCGUUCGGCAUACCAUGUGGAGUUUGAUCACCAAUUCGGACGAUAUUACACAAAUCUGAAUAGCUCAGGUAGUGCCCAACUGAAUCCGGUUUGGAAGGAGUUAUGGAAACUCCGUCUUCCAGGAAAGAUUAAGCACUUUGGCUGGAAAGUGCUAAAGGGGAUUUUACCAUGUUAUGGUGUUCUCACGGGCAGACAUGUACCCUUGCGCCCGCAAUGUCCUUUGUGCAAAAUUGGUUUAGAAGAUAUCCAGCACUGCCUGCUCUCAUGCGUCCGAGCCAAGCAAAUUUGGACAACACUUGGCCUAUCGGAGGUGAUCGACCAAGCUGUUCAGCGGGACCGGUCGGGAUCUAUAAACCUGGAUAUUUUGAUCAGACUGCAUACGAUGACACAUAAUAUACCAACGGCCGAGUUUAUCUUGGUGGCCAUGUGGUUUAUCUGGUGGAAAAGGAGACAAAGUACGAAGGGUGAGACUGUGCAUACGCGGAACAAACAGCUAUUCCAUCCAGGUUCUUGCUACAAAUUUUGUCCGUGCUAA
rnacentral:rRNA from 1 species